rnacentral:rRNA from 1 species
ACGAGGGUGACAGGUGGUGCAUGGUUGUCGUCAGCUCGUGUCGUGAGAUGUUGGGUUAAGUCCCGCAACGAGCGCAACCCUCGCCUCUAGUUGCCAGCAUUCGGUUGGGCACUCUAGAGGGACUGCCGGCGACAAGUCGGAGGAAGUGGGGAUGACGUCAAAUCAUCAUGCCCCUUAUGACCUGGGCUACACACGUGCUACAAUGGGCGGUACAAAGGGCUGCGAACCCGCGAGGGGGGAGCGAAUCCCAAAAAGCCGCUCUCAGUUCGGAUUGCAGGCUGCAACUCGCCUGCAUGAAGCCGGAAUCGCUAGUAAUCGCGGAUCAGCAUGCCGCGGUGAAUACGUUCCCGGGCCUU